GAUGAACGCUGGCGGCGUGCCUAAUACAUGCAAGUCGAACGCUGAAGGAGGAGCUUGCUCUUCUGGAUGAGUUGCGAACGGGUGAGUAACGCGUAGGUAACCUGCCUGGUAGCGGGGGAUAACUAUUGGAAACGAUAGCUAAUACCGCAUGACAACAGUUAUUGCAUGAUAACUGUUUAAAAGGGGCAACUGCUCCACUACCAGAUGGACCUGCGUUGUCUUAGCUAGUUGGUGAGGUAACGGCUCACCAAGGCGACGAUACAUAGCCGACCUGAGAGGGGGGUCGGCCACACUGGGACCGAGACACGGCCCAGACUCCUACGGGAGGCAGCAGUAGGGAAUCUUCGGCAAUGGACGGAAGUCUGACCGAGCAACGCCGCGGGAGUGAAGAAGGGUUUCGGAUCGUAAAGCUCUGUUGUAAGAGAAGAACGAGUGUGAGAGUGGAAAGUUCACACUGUGACGGUAUCUAACCAGAAAGGGACGGCUAACUACGUG
rnacentral:rRNA from 1 species